rnacentral:snRNA from 1 species
GUGCUCGCUCCAGCAGCACUUAUGCUAAAAUUGGAAAGAUACAGAGAAGAUUAGCAUGGCCCCUGCACAAGGAUGACAUGUAAAUUCAUGAAGUGUUCCAUAAAAUA